rnacentral:lncRNA from 1 species
AGUGGCCUACGCAUCGCCAGUCCUGACAACAGCCUAGCAACAACUGGCUAGAGGCUAUGCCCACCUAGACCCCUUUGAGGUCAUGGGAUCACGGAGCCAGAAAUGCCUGUAGAGCAAUCUAGAUUUGAGGGGGAUGACAUUUGAACUGCGAUCUGAAGGGACAAGAGGAAGGUAGCCCUGAAAGGAACAUAGCGAAAAGCAUCCCUGGUAGAAGGAAAAUAAGCAAAGAUUGUGAGGCCGAAAUGAAGAGUAACAUCAAGGGAACUUGGUUUAUGAUACAGACGGCAUUACAAGUUUAGGCCAGCAUGUCUGGAGUAUGGUGCAAGAGAGAGAAAGAAGUGAAGAUGAGAUUG